rnacentral:rRNA from 1 species
AGUGGGGAAUAUUGGACAAUGGGCGAAAGCCUGAUCCAGCCAUGCCGCGUGUGUGAAGAAGGUCUUCGGAUUGUAAAGCACUUUAAGUUGGGAGGAAGGGUUGUAGCUUAAUACGCUGCAACUUUGACGUUACCAACAGAAUAAGCACCGGCUAACUCUGUGCCAGCAGCCGCGGUAAUACAGAGGGUGCAAGCGUUAAUCGGAAUUACUGGGCGUAAAGCGCGCGUAGGCGGCUUGAUAAGAUGGGUGUGAAAUCCCCGGGCUUAACCUGGGAACUGCAUCCAUAACUGUCUGGCUAGAGUACAGUAGAGGGUGGUGGAAUUUCCUGUGUAGCGGUGAAAUGCGUAGAUAUAGGAAGGAACACCAGUGGCGAAGGCGACCACCUGGACUGAUACUGACGCUGAGGUGCGAAAGCGUGGGGAGCAAA